UCUUGCAAAAACAACAAAUAAGAGGUCCCGCCUGCCCUGUGACUAUAUGUUUAACGGCCGCGGUAUUUUGACCGUGCGAAGGUAGCGCAAUCACUUGUCUUUUAAAUGAAGACCCGUAUGAAUGGCACGACGAGGGCCUAACUGUCUCCUUUUUCAGGUCAAUGAAAUUGAUCUUCCCGUGCAGAAGCGGGAAUAUUAACAUAAGACGAGAAGACCCUAUGGAGCUUCAGACAUAAGGCAGCUCACGUUAAUAACCCCUAAACAAAGGAUUAAACUAAAUGAAACUCCUGCCAGAAUGUCUUUGGUUGGGGCGACCGCGGGGAAAAACUUAACCCCCAUGUGGAAAAGGAGGACACCUCCUACAACCAAGAGUUACCACUCCAAGUAACAGAAUUUCUGACCAAAAUGAUCCGGCAAAGCCGAUCAACGGACCGAGUUACCCUAGGGAUAACAGCGCAAUCCUCUUCCAGAGCCCAUAUCGACAAGAGGGUUUACGACCUCGAUGUUGGAUCAGGACAUCCUAAUGGUGCAGCCGCUAUUAAGGGUUCGUUUGUUCAACG
rnacentral:rRNA from 1 species